rnacentral:rRNA from 1 species
GAUGAACGCUGGCGGCGUGCUUAACACAUGCAAGUCGAACGGAAAGGCCCAAGCUUGCUUGGGUACUCGAGUGGCGAACGGGUGAGUAACACGUGGGUGAUCUGCCCUGCACUUCGGGAUAAGCCUGGGAAACUGGGUCUAAUACUGGAUAGGACCACUUCUUGGAUGGUGUGGUGGAAAGUUUUUUCGGUGUGGGAUGAGCUCGCGGCCUAUCAGCUUGUUGGUGGGGUAAUGGCCUACCAAGGCGUCGACGGGUAGCCGGCCUGAGAGGGUGUACGGCCACAUUGGAACUGUGAUACGGCCCAGACUCCUAAGGGAGGCAGCAGUGGGGAAUAUUGCACAAUGGGCGAAAGCGUGAUGCAGCGACGCCGCGUGGUGGAUGACGGCCUUCGGGUUGUAAGCUCCUUUCGCUAGGGACGAAGCGUUUUUGUGACGGUACCUGGAGAAGAAGCACCGGCUAACUACGUG